CAAAUGCCCAUUUGAGAUGCUCAGUCCUCCAUCUGAAUGCAUCUAGCUUUUCUUUACGACAAGGCAGAGUUACAUUCUACCUGGCAAGUGCAGAAAGAGCAGGAGAAAGUCAAGAUGAAUGAAGGUGAUGAGAAUGAAACUAAGAGAAGUACUAGAGUGACUGUAUUCCAGAGAGCGAUGGACUUGUUUUCUUGGUUUAAUUCCAUUAUCUUAUACAAAGAGAGAAGGAGGCAACUUCAUAAAAGCACCUUGUUGCAUGUUGCAAUAUGGAAAGACAUGCAAAUGUAAUCAGAUAAUU